GGUCUUGUAGUCUAGUGGUUUAAGACGUCCGGGUCACAACCGGAAAUCCUAUGUUCGAUUCAUAGCAGGACCG
rnacentral:tRNA from 1 species